GACGAACGCUGGCGGCGUGCCUAAUACAUGCAAGUCGAGCGAAGCGGCGGAUGGGUGAGUAACGCGUGGGUAACCUGCACUUAAGUCUGGGAUACCAUUUGGAAACAGAUGCUAAUACCGGAUACUAAAGGAUGGACCUGCGAUGCAUUAGCUAGUUGGUAAGGUAACGGCUUACCAAGGCGAUGAUGCAUAGCCGAGUUGAUAGACUGAUCUGCCACAUGUGUACUGAGACACGGCCCGAACACCUAAGGGAGGCAGCAGUAGGGAAUCUUCCACAAUUGACGAAAGUCUGAUGGGGCAACGCCGCGUGAGUGAAGAAGGUUUUCGGAUCGUAAAGCUCUGUUGUUGGUGAAGCGGUAAUCAACCAGAAAGUCACGGCUAACUACGUGCCGGCAGGCGCGGUAAUAC
rnacentral:rRNA from 1 species